rnacentral:rRNA from 1 species
CAAUAGCGUAUAUUAAAGUUGUUGCAGUUAAAGCUCGUAGUUGGACUUCUGGCUUGGUGUGGCGGGUCUCCGCAAGGGGUACGACUGCAGCGCCGAGCCUUGCUUCCUUCGUUAGUCGUGUGGUGCACUUAACUGGGUGCCAUGUGAAUAUGGGACCUUUACUUUGAAAAUUAGAGUGUUCAAAGCAGGCCUUCGCUUGAAUACAUUAGCAUGGAAUAAUAGAAUAGGACUUUGGUUCUAUUUUGUUGGUUUCUAGGACCGAAGUAAUGAUUAAUAGGGACAGUUGGGGCGUUAGUAUUUAAUUGUCAGAGGUGAAAUUCUUGGAUUUAUGAAAGACUAACUACUGCGAAAGCAUUUGCCAAGGAUGUUUUCAUUGAUCAAGAACGAAAGUGCGGGGAUCGAAGACGAUCAGAUACCA